AAAGGGUAAGAGGCCAUUCGUAUCUCUAAAACAAGUUCCAGUUGAUGAAAUCACAACCAGCUAUAAGAUGCAUGUUUCCCCAGACAAAAUGUUGAGAUCAUGUCAUUGGCUUCUGUCAACCUUCAAAAUUUCGAAAUGGAAAUUGAAGAUUAUUUAAAGAUUAAAUAUCCGCAUAUUCAACACCAUUCAAAGCCUCCUUUCUUCUAGUAAAUUGGGUUUUUGAAGAACAGAAGGGGCCUCAUCCAUGUCAGAGUUAUAAUACAGUUACUGACAGGAUGGAAAGAGAGGUGUACAAACAUAGGAUGGAAAGAGAGGUGUACAAACAUGCCAGUACCCUUCAGUAUUUCAAGAACUUGAAAGCAGUGAAAAGUAUUCUUGUAAUUUAAGCAGACAUUUGAAGUCCCCAAAAAAGAUGAUCACAAAGGCAAAAAUGACGACACAGACAUUCAAACACAAGAAUACCCUUAUCAGCUUUCGAGUACAUGGAAUUAAAGGACACUGGAAAAUUUGGAAAUGAUUUGAACUUCUCUUUUUCCACACUGCAUGUGCGUCUACUAGUACCAAAUUUAGUUCCUCUCCCAAGGCUGACUAUCUUGCUUUCCUUAAUAACGUUUAAAAUAUCAAAAAUAUUAUUUUUUCUGGCAUUACAAACAGUAAAUGAAAAACCUAUGAUGAAUGAAACAUGUACUUAGCCACAUUGAAUAAGUAGUUAAUCCAAAUGAAUUCAAUAUGCACCCCCUCAGCCAUGGGUCCCUACUCAUCAUCAGAGUAUCAUCAUGUUAUGCUUUACCUCGUUCAGUUAUUUUUUUAUAAAAGAUGUCAUAUGCUCCUCUUUCACCACCAUCAGCCCCUGGUAAGUAGCAUAGUCCCAUCACAACUAAAGUGGCUGCAUGUAACUUGUUAUAUCCAUCUACACUUAAAUACAAAGUUAUUAGGUAUUCCAUCUCCAAACUUAUCCAUAGUUCAAAAAUCGUAGCCCUCCAAAAUCACAAUUUGCCACUCCAAAAUUAACAUUUGCCAUCAUCCUUAACUAGAUAACCUCAGUUGCAUUCUUUGUUCCAUUAAUUCCCAUAUAUCUUCUUCUAAUACACAUCUUUGAGGCUUGAAAAUGCUUUAUAUGCAGUUCAGAUAUUAUGAAUCUCUCAUGACAUGUAGUAGUUAUUAGACUAUCAACUAUACUACUUCUAUAGCUUAAUUGAUAUCUUUUGGUUAUGCUGAGUUGCCAAUAAAACAAAGAAAUGAAACAAAAACAGGAGAAAUCAAGGUAACAAAAACGUUCAAGCCCAUUUGCAUGUUUUUCAAUUUAGUUCCAAAGCAACCAAAUAUAAUAAA
rnacentral:lncRNA from 1 species